UUGUCAACGAUUGACAACAGUAUCGUUAUCGCAGUUUCGAUGUGGCUACUAGGAUUUAAUGUAUUUUAAAGGAAUAUGUCAUGUUACUGAGAGCCAAU